GUUGAGGUCUAUCCUGAUGGGGCUUUCUUAUAGCCUGUAUAUUGUUGGAAACGCCUAAUAGAGUAACUCUGUGGUUUUGCUUUACUCACAGGACUAUUUGUUAGAACUGUGAGAAGGAACUAUAAGAAAGAG
rnacentral:snoRNA from 1 species